GUUGUCCCUUUGUGUCGGUAAAUAUCACUUUGAAGCAUUUAAUGAUGAUGAUAAUCAAGAUUAGCGAAGCUCUGCAAACCAAACUCUUCCUUUUGGGAUGUAGAAAUGGCCAACUACCAUUAGUCUGAUAACUGAAUAUAUUAGCUUGUAUCAUGAAAACUCCCCUAAAACAAAUUCUUUUCACUGUAGUUCAGCUGCAUGGAUGGAUACCACCUGAAAAUUGUCUAGUAAUGUGUACUUGAUGUGUGUGAAAUGUCUGUGUGAGAAUGUAAUUUAACAACAAAUUGAUAGAAAAACUAUCCUGCAAUGUAGCCGUUUCAUGGUACCGGCAACUAUGAAAAUUAUCGCCCUCCUAACUUCCAUUUGGAAGAAAUGUCAUUGUUGAAAACACAUCUGUGAAGUAUUUCCGUUUUUCUUAUGCAUAGUUUUGAACAAUGUCACCAUUUGUCAGUUGAGUCAGACCUCAGCUUGGCUGUUAGUGUGUUUACGUUGGCCUGCUAUCAGUAAUGAACAGACUUAAAUCAAGACUUUCCCUCUAUGUAUCUAAACCAUAAUGACGGGGCUUUUGGUCAUAAAUGCAUCUUUUUGUAUUGAUGUUGGGUCUGGAACACAUGUAAAUAACUCAGAAGUGGAGGGAGGGGGGAGGGGAAUGACGGCAUUUGUAUUUGUAAAGUAGUUGUGUAUUCAUUGAAUUUUUUUUCAGCCUACUUGUAUAAAGUGUUAUGUUUUUACACA